rnacentral:rRNA from 1 species
UACGUAGGGGGCAAGCGUUGUCCGGAAUUAUUGGGCGUAAAGAGCGUGUAGGCGGUCCGGUAAGUCAGCUGUGAAAGUCAAGGGCUCAACCCUUGAAAGCCGGUUGAUACUGUCGGGCUAGAGUCCGGAAGAGGCGAGUGGAAUUCCUGGUGUAGCGGUGAAAUGCGCAGAUAUCAGGAAGAACACCAACGGCGAAGGCAGCUCGCUGGGACGGAACUGACGCUGAGGCGCGAAAGCGUGGGGAGCAAACAGG